rnacentral:rRNA from 1 species
UAGAGUUUGAUCAUGGCUCAGGAUGAACGCUAGCGGCAGGCUUAACACAUGCAAGUCGAGGGGCAUCGGGAGGGAAGCUUGCUUUCCUUGCCGGCGACCGGCGCACGGGUGAGUAACACGUAUGCAACCUGCCCUCUUCAGGGGGACAACCUUCCGAAAGGGAGGCUAAUCCCGCGUAUAUCGGUUUCGGGCAUCCGAGAUCGAGGAAAGAUUCAUCGGAAGAGGAUGGGCAUGCGGCGCAUUAGCUUGACGGCGGGGUAACGGCCCACCGUGGCGACGAUGCGUAGGGGUUCUGAGAGGAAGGUCCCCCACACUGGUACUGAGACACGGCCCAGACUCCUACGGGAGGCAGCAGUGGGGAAUAUUGCACAAUGGGGGAAACCCUGAUGCAGCGACGCCGCGUGAGUGAAGAAGUAUUUCGGUAUGUAAAGCUCUAUCAGCAGGGAAGAUAAUGACGGUACCUGACUAAGAAGCCCCGGCUAACUACGUGCCAGCAGCCGCGGUAAUACGUAGGGGGCAAGCGUUAUCCGGAUUUACUGGGUGUAAAGGGAGCGUAGACGGCAGCGCAAGUCUGAAGUGAAAUGCCGGGGCUUAACCCCGGAACUGCUUUGGAAACUGAGCAGCUAGAGUGCANGAGAGGUAAGUGGAAUUCCUAGUGUAGCGGUGGAAUGCGUAGAUAUUAGGAGGAACACCAGAGGCGAAGGCGGCUAACUGGGACUGCAACUGACGCUGAGGCACGAAAGUGUGGGGAGCAAACAGGAUUAGAUACCCUGGUAGUCCACACUGUAAACGAUGG